AACGAACGCUGGCGGCAGGUCUUAGGCAUGCAAGUCGAACGGGUGUAGCAAUACAUCAGUGGCGAACGAGUGAGUAACGCGUGGGAAACUGCCCACCUCUGGGGAAUAACGUUUGGAAACGAACGCUAAUACCGCAUACGCCCUGAGGGGGAAAGAUUUAUCGCUUUAAGAUUGGCCCGCGGAAGAUUAGGUAGUUGGUGGGGUAAAUGCCUACCAAGCCUACGAUCUAUAGCUCGUCUGAGAGGACGAUCAGCCACACUGGAACUGAGACACGGUCCAGACUCCUACGGGAGGCAGCAGUGAGGAAUAUUGGGCAAUGGAGGCAACUCUGACCCAGCCAUGCCGCGUGAAUGAAGAAGGUUUUCGGAUUGUAAAGCUCUUUCGGAUGUGACGAUGAUGACGGUAGCAUCUAAAGAAGCCCCGGCUAACUUCGUGCCAGCCGCCGCGGUAA
rnacentral:rRNA from 1 species